rnacentral:rRNA from 1 species
AGUGAACGCUGGCGGCGUGCCUAAUACAUGCAAGUCGAACGGAGUGGCGCACGGGUGAGUAAUUUAUAGCUAAUCUGCCCUACACUAGAGGACAACAGUUGGAAGCGACUGCUAAUAAUCUAUAGUGUAGGAUGAGGCUAUAUUGUAUCAGCUAGUUGGUGAGGUAAUGGCUCACCAAGGCUAUGACGCAUAACUGGUCUGAUAGGAUGAUCAGUAACAUGGGAACUGAGACACUGGCGAGAGUCCUACUGCAGGCAGCAGUAGGGAAUAUUGCUCAAUGGGGGUAACACUGAAGCAGCAUCGCCGCGUGGAGGAUGACACUUGUCGGAGCGGAAACUCCUUUUGUUAGGUAAGCGGUACUUAACGAAUAAGCACCGGCUAACUCCGUGCCAGCAGCCGCGGUAAUUC